UAGGGAAUCUUCCACAAUGGACGAAAGUCUGAUGGAGCAACGCCGCGUGAGUGAAGAAGGUUUCGGCUCGUAAAGCUCUGUUGGUAGUGAAGAAAGAUAGAGGUAGUAACUGGCCUUUAUUUGACGGUAAUUACUUAGAAAGUCACGGCUAACUACGUGCC
rnacentral:rRNA from 1 species